GAGAGUUCCAUAACUCACUCAUGGCCGGCGGGGUCUUUGUGCUUCAUGCCACUCACAACAGGGGCCAGACAGGCACUGCUUCUGUUCGAGCAGGAGGGCACAUGGGUACAAGGCUCUUGCCGCCAUGUGCUGUGGGGAGGAAGACUGGGGGUCCCGCCUUCUACUGUUCCAUGCCUAGUCUAGAUUGGGAAGCCAACCCCAGGUCUUUAAUAGGUAUGCUCAAAAUCCCUGACCAUGCCUCUGGAUUGAUUUCAGAAUAAUCACCAUGAAUUUGUUUUUACUGGGAUGACUUCCCAAUAAGACAGAACAAACAGACUCUAUAUCUGUUGAAAAUAAGUUUCCAUUCCUGCCCAUUUCUAGAAUUUAACCUUGAAAUUCAAAAGCUGGGUGAGCAUGGGGAAGUCACUUAACUGUUUUAGACAUCAAUCCCUCCAAUUACAAAAUAAGAUACUCUCACAUAAUGAUGAUUCAAGCUUCCUGAGUUUUAAAAUUCCUGAACUGUAUCAAUGAGCUAAUAAUUUUGCCCCUGGAACAGACUCAAGAAAGCUCUCAAUGAAGAUAAGGUCAGUAGUCAUCGCUUCUGUAGAGGCUGAUUAAAAGAUCUUUUCUUUCUUUCUUCUUUUUUAAUAGCAAAAGUUGUUCUACUUCCCUCCAACCAAACUAUCAAGCUCCUAGUUGCUCUAAUUUAACUUUAUUACUCUUUUGUCUUGUCAAUAAGAACAUAAUAGUGUCCUUAAAGAAAAUGACAGCUUUUUUCUUUUUCUUUGAGGUUUAUUUCAAACAAUUUUCUUUCUUCCUAAUGAGCCUGAUCCAUGUUUGCAGUUGCAUAUUGUGCUCUUUUAAUGGGGAGGUUUUCAAAUACAGAGAGGAGAAAGAAAAGCUGGCUUUGUUUUCCUUAUUUUUUGCUAGCCUUUUUGUCACUUCAAAUAGUUACCUUACAGAUCAUUUACAAAUCAUGGGCUGUUUGCAAUGCAGUGCAUUCCAAAGAUGGUGCCUUUUUUUUUUUUUCUUUUUUAAUCUUUUUAUAAAUGAGGUCUUGCCCAGAGACUCAAUGUGUCCAAAUCACCCCUCCUUCUGA
rnacentral:lncRNA from 1 species